rnacentral:rRNA from 1 species
UACGUAGGGUGCAGGCGUUAAUCGGAAUUACUGGGCGUAAAGCGUGCGCAGGCGGUUCUAUAAGACAGAUGUGAAAUCCCCGGGCUCAACCUGGGAACUGCAUUUGUGACUGUAGAGCUGGAGUGCGGCAGAGGUGGAUGGAAUUCCGCGUGUAGCAGUGAAAUGCGUAGAUAUGCGGAGGAACACCGAUGGCGAAGGCAAUCCCCUGGGCCUGCACUGACGCUCAUGCACGAAAGCGUGGGGAGCAAACAGG